UUGCAUUCUUAAACCCUCUUGGUAGCUUCAACCUGAUUGCUUCCAGGAUAUGAGUGAAUGCCAUAGGAAUUGCAGGGGAGUCCAAAGGGCUGUGCCUCUCCUGUGGCUCAGUCUUAUUUCGUACCUGCGACAUCU
ensembl:snoRNA